rnacentral:rRNA from 1 species
AACGAACGCUGGCGGCAUGCCUAACACAUGCAAGUCGAACGAGACCUGCGGGUCUAGUGGCGCACGGGUGCGUAACGCGUGGGAACCUGCCCUUAGGUUCGGAAUAACCCCCCGAAAGGGGUGCUAAUACCGGAUAAUGUCUUCGGACCAAAGAUUUAUCGCCUUUGGAUGGGCCCGCGUUGGAUUAGCUAGUUGGUAGGGUAAAAGCCUACCAAGGCGACGAUCCAUAGCUGGUCUGAGAGGAUGAUCAGCCACACUGGGACUGAGACACGGCCCAGACUCCUACGGGAGGCAGCAGUGGGGAAUAUUGGACAAUGGGCGAAAGCCUGAUCCAGCAAUGCCGCGUGAGUGAUGAAGGCCUUAGGGUUGUAAAGCUCUUUUACCCGGGAUGAUAAUGACAGUACCGGGAGAAUAAGCUCCGGCUAACUCCGUG